GUUUUAAAUAUUAUUGAUUUAAGUUUAUUUUAAUAAAAAUAAUUUUUAUUAUUAUUGUUAUAGUAUAUUUUAUAGAAAAAAUAUUUUUAAUUAUAGGUUAUUAGUAUUGUAUAAGAAAUAUGAAAUAAAUAAAAAAUUUGUAUAAGUAGAAUUUUAUUUUUGUACCUUGUGUAUCAGGGUUUAUUAAAUUAUUUUAAUAAAAUUUUAAUUUCCCGAAUUUAAGAGAUUGAAUAAAAUAUUUUUUUUAUUGUAAUAAAAAUAUUAAUAAUAUUUUGUUGGUAAUGAAACGUUAUUCGUUCUUAAAUAUAUCUGGUUAAUUUAGAAAUGAAUUUAAUUCAGUUAAUUAAUUUUUAUUAUUAUAUUUAUUUAUUUUAAUGUAUUUAAUUAAUAAUAUUUAAAGGGAUAAGCUUUUAAAUAAAAUUUUAUAAUGAGUUUAAUAAUUAUAAAAAAAUAGGUUUAGAGAUAUUCAUUGUUAAUAGUUUGUUAUAAUUAUUUUAUUUUUUAUUUAUUAUUUUAUAUUUAUUUAGUUUUUUAUUAAUUAUUAUUAUUAAAUUUUAGUUUAUUAGUUAUAAUGAUAGAAUUAGUAUAUAUUAUUUAUUUAAAUAUAAAAUUUUUAAAGAUUAUUUAUAGGAAUUCGGCAAAAAAUUUAUUCGCCUGUUUAACAAAAACAUGUCCUUUAGAUUUGAAUUGAAGGUCUAACCUGCCCGCUGAAAAAUUUUGAAUGGCCGCAGUAAAUUGACUGUGCAAAGGUAGCAUAAUCAAUAGUUUUUUAAUUAAAAGCUUGUAUGAAUGGUUGGACGAGAUAAAGUCUGUCUUUAAUUAAAAAGUAGAAUUUAAUUUUUAAGUUAAAAAGCUUAAAUUUUAUUAAAAGACGAGAAGACCCUAUAGAUCUUUAUAUUAAAUUAAUUAUUUUUAUUAAGGAUUAUUUUGUUAUUUUAAUUAAUUUAUUAUUUUAUUGGGGUAAUAUUAAGAUUUAAAUAAUUCUUUUUAAAAAUAACAUUUAUUUUUGAUUAAUUGAUCCAUUAUUAUUGAUUAUAAGAUUAAGUUACCUUAGGGAUAACAGCGUAAUUUUUUUAGAGAGUUCUUAUCGAUAAAAAAGUUUGCGACCUCGAUGUUGGAUUAAAAGUUAUUUUAGGUGUAGUAGUUUAAAAUUUUGGUCUGUUCGACCAUUGAAUUUUUACAUGAUCUGAGUUCAGACCGGUGUAAGCCAGGUCGGUUUCUAUCUUUAGUUGAUUAAAAUAUUUUAGUACGAAAGGACCAAGUAUUUAAUAUAUUUAUUAUUUUAAAUUUGAAUAUUAUU
rnacentral:rRNA from 1 species